ensembl:lncRNA
AGAGAGAGAGAGAGAGAGAGAGAGAGAGAGAGAGAGAGAGAGAGACAGAGAGAGAGACAGAGAGAGAGACAGAGAGAGAGACAGAGAGAGAGACAGAGAGAGAGAGAGAGAGAGAUAUGACAGGGUGAGAGAGAGACAGAGAGAGAGAGAGAAAUAUGACGGGGUGAGAGAGAGGAAAAGUACAGGAGAUACCAUCUCUUUCGGUCUAGCAGGCUGUUUACAGGCUCCAGACCCUGAGAUGUAAAAGCAGGGGGAGGUAGAAAACCAUGGCUGCAUUAGAAAUAAAAUGUUCAUCCUGAGAAUGACAAGUAUUUCUGAAGUGUAAACUAUGAAUGCUCUCUCCUCCUCCUCCUCCUCCUCCUCCUCCUCCUCAUGUCUGUGUGAAUGGGUGUGUGUUUGGGGCUGAUGUUUUGGUCUGAAAUGGAAGAGAACUCAAACACUAACUGUAUGUCUCCCAAAGGGGAGAAUUUGAGAAAGAGGGACAGACAGACAGACAGACAGACAGACAGACAGACAGACAGACAGACAGACAGACAGAGAGACAGACAGAGAGACGGGGAGAGAAGGAACAACAGGUUGUCUGAGUUAAAGCAGCCUCAGGUCAGUAGAUCUCCUCUGGGAACUCACUGGGACCUUUUAUUUCCCCAUCCCACAGUUAAUAGCAUGUUUAAAGGUUGUGGCUGCUAUUUUAGAGUGGAGGUAGAGAGGAAAAGGUUGCCCCCCAAGCUGUGGGACCCUAGGGGAAGUACAUACAGGGAUGAAGGGAGAUGAGAGGGGGAGGAUGUAGAGGGAGGAGGGAGAUAGGGAUGAAGGGAGAUGUAAAGAGAGGGGGUAGAGAGGGAGAGAGGAUGUAGAGAGAAGAGGGAGAGAGGAUGUAGAGAGAGGAGAUAGAGGAAGAGAGGAUGUAGUGAGAGGAGGUAGAGAGAGAGGAUGUAGAGAGAGAGGGAGAGAGGAGAUAGAGGGAGAGCGGAUGUAGUGAGAGGAGGUAGAGAGAGAGGAUGUAGAGAGAGGAGGUAGAGAGGAUGUAGAGAGAAGAGGGAGAGAGGGAGAGAGGAGGUAGAGAUAGGGAAUGAGUGAGGGAGCAGAGAGGAGGAGGGUGGAGAGAAAUGAGAGAGAAGCAGAGAGAGGGAAGCAGAGAGAGAGAAGCAGAGAGAGAGAGAAGCAGAGAUAGAGAGAAGAAGAGAGAGAGAAGCAGAGAGAGAGAAGAAGAGAGAGAAGCAGAGAGAGAGAGAAGCAGAGAGAGAGAAGAAGAAAGAGAGAAGAAGAGAGAGAGAAGCAGAGCGAGAUCAGCAGAGAGAGAGAGAAGAAGAGAGAGAGAGAAGAAGAGAGAGAGAAGAGAGAGAGAGAAGCAGAGAGAGAGAAGAAGAGAGAGAGAGAAGCAGAGAGAGAAGCAGAGAGAGAGAAGAGAGAGAGAAGCAGAGAGAGAAGCAGAGAGAGAGAAGAAGAGAGAGAGAAGCAGAGAGAGAUGUUGUUGAUAGUAAAGGUGACUAAGGAGCGUGUGGUUUUGGUGACAGAAUGAUGUCACUGAUUAGUCCCACCUGCAGAGAUGCUGGAGGGUGUGUGUGUGUGUGUGUGUGUGUGUGUGUGUGUGUGUGUGUGUGUGUGUGUGUGGAAACUGAGCUGCACUUCCUAACCUCCUGCCCAAUGUAUGACCAUAUUAGAGAGACAUAUUUCCCUCAGAUUACACAGAUCCACAAAUAAUUUGAAAAUAAACCCAAUUUUGAAAAACUCCCAUAUCUACUGGGUGAAAUUCCACAGUGUGCCAUCACAGCAGCAAGAUUUGUGACCUGUUGCCAGGAGAAAAGGGCAACCAAUGAAGAACAAACACCAUUGUAAAUACAACCCAUAUUUAUGCUUAUUUAUUUUAUAUUGUGUCCUUUAACCAUUUGUACAUUGUUGAAACACUG